rnacentral:tRNA from 1 species
UUAUUCUUUUCUUAUUAUUAAUGACUGGGAAAAGAAUAAACAAUUCCGAAAUUUCACUGAUUAAGAAAAAAUU